CACGUAGGGCGCAAGCGUUGUCCGGAAUUACUGGGCGUAAAGGGCUCGUAGGCGGCCAACUAAGUCAGACGUGAAAUCCCUCAGCUUAACUGGGGAACUGCGUCUGAUACUGGAUGGCUUGGAUUCGGGAGAGGAAUGCGGAAUUCCAGGUGUAGCGGUGAAAUGCGUAGAUAUCUGGAGGAACACCGGUGGCGAAGGCGGCAUUCUGGACCGACAUUGACGCUGAGGAGCGAAAGCCAGGGGAGCAAACGGG
rnacentral:rRNA from 1 species